UAACUCUCAUCCUACACCGUUGGAUCGAGAAAUGGACGUCGAGAUUCGUCCACGUCACCAUGAGUUAAAAUUUAACUCGCAGAUUCACUCAUGAGUUAAAAUUUACUGGAAGUUAAAUUUUAACUCAUAGUGACGUGGACGAAUCUCGAACGUCCAUUUCUCGAUCCAACAGUGUAGGAUGAAAGUUG
rnacentral:pre_miRNA from 1 species